rnacentral:misc_RNA from 1 species
GAGAAAUAUAGAGGACCUGAAACAAGAUAGGAAGAGAGUUUUUAGGAAUACGGAUGCCAGAAAUGGAAGGAUUGACAGCUAGAGAAUCUAGGCAUGGUGGUUCAGCAACAUUCAACAAUUUUCUGGCAAUGUCAACAGACUUUCUCGCAACUCCUUAAUGCAUUGGCAUUGGAUUUUUUAGAACAAAAAUUUGGAUUCUAUUGGAACAAAAAUUUGGAUUCUAUUGGUGGUACCCUUUAUUAGUGAGAGAGCUUGUUGGUGGUAGAGAUUUGUGAGGCAUGUCCUUCUUUGUCUUGUGUCAUGAAACAUGUUCCUAUUUAAGUGUGCCCACUUGACCCUGGUAGAGGCCAGCAACCUGUGCACCUUGCACCUCAAAUGUGUCUUUACAUUUAUACAUCUUAUAUUGCAAGCGCUAGAGAGAGUUUGAUGCAUGUAGUAUGAAGGCUAUUUUCAAGUUUAGACUUGAGACCCCCAAGUCGUGGUGAAUCAACCUUAUCAUUGUGUGAAGGUUUACUCUUGCAUAUCACCAAAUUAUUGUGUAUAAACUGAUUGCAUUGCCACCUUAUAAAUUCAACCAUCAAGUCAUGAAAUUUUAAAAUUUUUUCUUCACUGCAAAUUGUCUUUAGAUUAAAUUCUUGACAAUCACUCAACCAGAUAUUUGAAGAUGGUUGUAUACUCUUAACUUUGGAAGGGAAUUAUGACCGCAACUAG